AUGUGUAAAUGUAUCAGUACCAGUAAACUAAAAUCUAUCAUUUGUCUGUAUAUAGGUACAAAUACGGGAUUCUGCGGUCUGCUAACUGCCCAGAAGGACCCAGUUCCUCUGAAGAGCUUUGAGGUGGAGCUGGAGGUGAGGGACCAUGUGGCUACAGUGGUCUCCACUCUGAACUACGAGAACAAGGAGGACAAACCAUUAGAGGCUGUUUUUGUCUUCCCUCUGCCUGGAGAUGCUGCUGUCUGUCAUUUCAGUGCUCAGGUUGGACAGACACAGAUUGUAGCUGAGCUGAAGGAGAAACAGGAGGCUCGUCAGGAGUAUGAUGAUGCUCUGAGCUCCGGUCAGCAGGCCUUCCUAUUGGAGGAGAGUGAUGAGAGUCCAGAUGUUAUAUUCUCUCUGCAUGUGGGCAGUCUGCCUCCAGGAGAGAGCGCCUCCAUCAGGUUGGAGUACGUCACUGAGCUGGCUGUGCAGGCUGAUGAUGGUCUGAGGUUCUGUCUGCCUGCUGUGCUCAACCCUCCAACUUCAGAAUACUUGGACCAGAAACGCUUCAACUAUAUCAGUGAAAGUAGUGAAGGUGCAGGUGUCCAGGUGACUUCUGUUCCAGCCUCUCUGGUGCCCUACAGUCUGUCUUUUUCUGCCCGAGUCUCCUCUCCUCGUCCAGUCUCUAAAGUAGAGUCCAACUGUUCCCUGGACCCUCUGCAGUACCUCAACACUGAUCAAACCCAGGCCACGGUCAAGCUGGCUGCAGGACACAAGUUUGACAGAGAUGUUGAACUGCUGAUUUAUUACAAAGACGCCCACCAGCCCACUGCUGUGGUGGAGGCAGGACAGGCCUCUGCUGAGCCGGGCUCUCUGAUGGGUGAUCCAGUGGUGAUGGUGAGUCUGUACCCUGAGUUCCCCCAGUCUGUGAUGUCUUCAAUGGCUUCAUGUGGAGAGUUUGUGUUCUUAGUGGAUCGAUCGGGAAGUAUGGACUGUCCUACGAAUGACACUGAGCAGCAGGAAACUCGGAUCAGCAGUGCCAGGGAUACUCUGCUGCUCCUGUUGAAUAGCUUACCAAUGGGCUGCUAUUUCAACAUUUACAGUUUUGGGUCUAGUUAUGAACAAAUCUUCCCUAAGAGUGUAGAGUAUGGUGAGAAGACCAUGGAGGAGGCUCUGAAGAAAGUUGAGCAGAUGGAGGCUGAUCAUGGAGGAACAGAGAUCCUGGAGCCCCUCAAACAUAUUUACAGCCAACCCUGCAUUCAAAAUCAGCCUAGACAGUUGACCAUGAACCAAGCCCUCUCUUCUCUCAUCAACGGGAUGGCCAAGGAAGGAGGAGGUCACGCUCAGUUCAUCACAGGGACUGACAGGAUGCAACCAAAAGUGAUGCAGUCGCUGCAUUUUUCUCUGCAACCAGCAGUGGAAGAUGUUUCUGUUACAUGGGAUUUACCAAAGGGAUCCACUAUCACUGUCCUCUCUCCACCAAUCACAUCAUUUUUCCAGGGUCAAAGGUCACUAAUUUAUGCCCAGCUCACUGGACAGAGCUCAGAGGCAGCAGAGGGCUGUGUGACGCUGAAGUACAGCCUGGCAGGUCAUCGCUCUGAGAAUCAGCUGCACUUCAGUCUCUGCAGAGGACUCUGGCUUAAUAGUCCACAGGUUAGCUGCUCGGACUCUUAUUUGCUUGCUAGAGAUGGAAGCAGAAAACAAUGAGGAAAAAGAAGAAGUAAAAAAGAAGGUGGUGCAGCUGAGUGUCCAAUCGGGAGUGAGCAGUUCUUUCACUGCUUUCAUUGUUGUCAAUACAGACAACAACAAGGAGAUUCAAGGACCUCUUCUGCACCGAGAUAUUCCAAUGGCUGGUCUAAUGAGAUGUGCUGCUACCCCUUGCUGUUAUAGUUCCUCUUUUUCGUCCGAAUUUCCACAUGCUAAGAAGCCACCCAGAGACCCUUUGCUGCAGUUAGUCUCCCUCCAGAAGGCGUCUGGCUGCUGGCUGCUUGAUGCAGCUCUGGCUGCUGCACUGGGAAAGACCAACGAGGAGGUGGAAAAGUCAAAGCCUGAAAAGGCCAGCAGUGAAGUGUGGGCCACCAUUCUGGCUCUGAUCUGGCUUCAUGGUUUCAAGAUGGAUGCAAAGGACGAGUGGGAGCUUCUGGCUGCAAAGGCCGUAUCAUGGCUCAGUGCGCAAAAAGCACCAUCUGUGACCGAGUGUGUGGAAGCCAGAAAUAUAUUGUUGGGUUGCAGUGUGCAAAAAAACUGCCCUUGGCCUCUGAGGUUUUUAUUAAGCUAAUAACGUCUUUACGAUUCAUGCACAGAAGCAGAUUUACUUCAUCCUUCAUCCACAUUAAUCUUUGCAUCAUCCAACUUUAUUAUCUAAUGUGCCUUAUUUUAUGCUGCAUGUGUCCAAAGUCAGCUUUGUAGGAGGACCAGAGAUUAUUGCUUUUGUAUUCUCAUUUUAAUGUUGCUGUUUGCUUGAAAGCAUCAAAUAUUAAACAAAUAAAAACACACAUGAGUUUGGA